GGAGCCUGCCAGACUACAGUCCAUAUGGUCGCAAAGAGUUGGACACGACUGAGCGAUAAGCACAGCACAGUCACUGUAAACGGCCUUGAUCAAAGGUCUGCAAUCAUGUUCUUCAGAAUCUGGGAAAUAUGAAGAAUGAUGGCUUCCGUCUCAGAUGCCAGGUGUACUUGUAUGUGAAUAUGAAUUCACUAACUACUCUGCACAUAAAAUUGAAUACACUACUUCAUCUCCUAAACAUCAACAGGAUGAACAAUACGUCCUUCAUUUUCUCUCAAAAUCAAUAGGCAAUGGAUUGAUGAAGUCCAUGUGUUUGCUCUACAGCUGUUUAUUGCAUGUCAAACCUGUGGAAGGAAUUAUUUCACCUACAAUGCAACAAUUCACUUGUAUCUCACUGGUAUGGACGGUGGGCAACAGAUUGAAUUAAAGCCUUCU
ensembl:lncRNA